CGUGCCAGCAGCCGCGGUAAUACGUAGGUGGCAAGCGUUGUCCGGAUUUGUUGGGCGUAAAGCGAGCGCAGGCGGAAGAAUAAGUCUGAUGUGAAAGCCCUCGGCUUAACCGAGGAACUGCAUCGGAAACUGUUUUUCUUGAGUGCAGAAGAGGAGAGUGGAACUCCAUGUGUAGCGGUGGAAUGCGUAGAUAUAUGGAAGAACACCAGUGGCGAAGGCGGCUCUCUGGUCUGCAACUGACGCUGAGGCUCGAAAGCAUGGGUAGCGAACAGGAUUAGAUACCCUGGUAGUCCACGCCGUAAACGAUGA
rnacentral:rRNA from 1 species